AGCCCACCUGAGGAUAGUCAGGUGCAUUGUCGAAAAAGCCUAAAGCGUUUGGCAAAAUUAGUCAAGUUUUUAGCAAAACCAGAAAGCUAUGCUGUCCUCGAGUGAGGACAUCUUUUCCAGUGUCAAAAAACAGGGAACAGGGUCUCAGAGGCUUUGGGAAUCCUUGGAAGCAGACCAUCUCCAACAGGAGUUAAUGGGGCCCGUUUGCCUCAUUUCAAACCACAGGGCUGAAUAGGAUGUCACGCAGUAAGUGUGCAAUCACACUUACUCUGCUUGUUCUCUGUACCUGUCUUUGGUUUGUUCAACUUUUUAAAUGCCUUUGAAGGUCUUAGGCAAUUACACUGCUUAGAUUUAGAAUAAAUUAUAGAGCCCUGAGGCUUAGAAGCCAAUUUCAAGGCUUCUGGUCACCAGAGUAAUAUCCUGGGCUCUCCUGAUAUUCCACUGUUCAGCAACGUUGACUGGACGGACAGCAGUAUUUCUAUUCGAUUUGAAGUUCAGAGUUUCAAGACCUGUUAUUCUCACAAGCUCAUAGAUAGGAAUUAGAACUACACUUCUCUGAAGUUGAUAUUGGUAAGUAAAUCAGACCUGUUUAGUUUUCUCUCCCCUCAGCACCCCAAAUACAGCUAUAACAAAGUUUUGUUUUGUUUUGCUUUUAGCAAAUUGGGUCCUGAAUAGUCACAAAUUGACAUUUGUUCUGCUUUUAGAUAGUACAAGUGAAGGACAGGCAUGAAGGCAUGGUUGGCCCUCCCUUGACUUGGCAGUCUCAAGAUUCCCGGAAGAAUUUCCACUUUCCUUCAUUGUUUAUAGCAUCGUGGUCACUGAGUGUUUUACAACCUUCCAGUAGGCAAGGUCGUGAUUCACGUACAGGGAAAAAGAAGCCCACAGUAGAUGAAUGCUUUGCCUCAAGUCAAAGUCACAGCAGAUGCCAGUUUUCCGAGUGAAAACUAAGUGGCUGGAGUCUCUAAGGACAUUUUGCAGUUCUGACCCUUCUUUCAUGAGUAGCUAGGAGGCGGGAGGUAUUCAUAUGGGCUUAUCUGACCCCAGGACUCCCCACUCCUCACACCCCAGUGGAAAUCUAGAAGGAGGCUACUGGCUUCAGCAAGAUGGUUGCUACCACUCCUCUGAGUGUGCCAGGUGUGAUUACAGCUCUGUUCAAACACGCUCUGGUUUCCUCCCAGGGAGCACUUUGAGCCUCUUCUGAACUUUCAGGCCCCAGGGCUGAGCACAGGGUACAGAUUUUUCUUCCAGACAUUUGGCAUUUGUGUAAUGAUUUUUGUCUCUAAGGGUAAUAAAAGUACAUCAGAUGUUGCUCCCUGUACCAUGAACUUUGCUUUGAAGCACCAGUGAGCCGCUUCAAAGGCUCGGCACCAUGUGGAGAUUCUGUUUCUGGGGACUUAGCUCUGCCGAAGUGUGCCCAUCAACCUGGGACACAUUGCCUACCACAGCACUCACAGCUCAAGACCAGUUGUCAAAUACGUCAAAAGUGACAAAUUGGCAUACUGAAAGCUUCAAACCACAUAGCCAUCAGAAUCAGCAUAGGAUAUACAUCAUGCUUUGAGCUCCACGGGGGAGAAAAAUGCCUGAUUUACAUGCAGAAUGAUUUACAAAUGAACUAAAAAGAGAUCCGAGUGGCCUUCAGAGCUCAGCAUAGAGUGCUUUUGGUCAUUGCUUACCUGAAGUCUACAGUGAACCGUCCAGAGCUGUUUAGACUGGAAAGACGAAGCCAGUGGUGGAAGCUCAGGGGAGAAUCACAGACACAAUAAAAUUCUCUAUUUAUAACUCAACAAAUAAAGGCCACUGCAAGCAACAGACCUCAAGUUAGAAGGGGUCUGGAGAAUAUCUGGCCUUACACCCCUUAUAUAUUUUGGAGUCGAGGAAACUGAGGCCCAGAGAAGAAAUUUAUUUAUCCAACUUUCUACAAAAGUUACUGGUAUCAUUCAGACUUAAACUCAGGUCACCUGACUCCUGGGCCAGAGCACCAUCACGGAGUCAGGGUACAACAGCAAGGAAAAGUGCAGGCUUUGUGCCAUGCAGACUUGGAAUAUUUGCAGCCUUUUACCAGCUCUCUGAUUAUGGACAUAUUUCUUAUCCCCUCAUAAUCGGUAUCUCUGUCCGUAAAAGAGCAAGUGAUACUUUUCUGUUGAGUUAUUAAAUUUAAUUGAGACAAUAGAUAGAAAAUGUCAGACACCUAGCAGGCAAUCAUUAAAAGACAAUUGCUAUUUUUACUACAUGAGAACAUAUUUUAAAAAAAGAAAAAUGAACAGGACUGUGAUUUCUUCAGUAAUGCUUUUUCAGCUCUCAUGACUUUUUAAAAAUGCAUUCUCCUAGGAAGCAUCUUGAAAUCUUCAAAGUUAAUUUUCAUACAGUUAGAUUUAAAAAUAAUCUCUGGCCAUAAAUAACAUACUUCUUUAUGGGGCAGGGGAGCGGAAGAGAAACUCACUAUA
rnacentral:lncRNA from 1 species